rnacentral:tRNA from 1 species
GCCGAAGUGGCGGAACUGGCAUACGCGUCGGUCUCAAAAACCGAUGGUCGCAAGGCCUUGUGGGUUCAACUCCCACCUUCGGCACCA